rnacentral:rRNA from 1 species
UAGGGAAUCUUCGGCAAUGAACGAAAGUCUGACCGAGCAACGCCGCGUGAGUGAAGAAGGUUUUCGGAUCGUAAAACUCUGUUGGUAGAGAAGAACGUUGGUGAGAGUGGAAAGCUCAUCAAGUGACGGUAACUACCCAGAAAGGGACGGCUAACUACGUGCCAG